UGAGCAAUCUGCCCUUCUCAUCGGAAUAAGCGUUGGAAACGACGUCUAAUGCCGAAUACGACCUCCUUUCGCAUGAUCGGAGGUGGAAAGCUCCGGCGGAGAAGGAUGAGCUCGCGGCCUAUCAGCUAGUUGGUGUGGGUAAUGGCCCACAAGGCGACGACGGGUAGCCGGCCUGAGAGGGUGACCGACCACACUGGGACUGAGACACGGCCCAGACUCCGUACGGGAGCAG
rnacentral:rRNA from 1 species